ACGAACGCUGGCGGCGUGCCUAAUACAUGCAAGUCGAACGGUCUUUCUAUGGAAGCUUGCUUCCACUGAGAAGAUAGUGGCGAACGGGUGAGUAACACGUGGGUAACCUGCCUAUAAGAGGGGGAUAACAUCCGGAAACGGGUGCUAAUACCGCAUAGUUUCUUGAUCGCAUGAUUGAGAAGGAAAGACGGCCUUUGUGCUGUCGCUUAUGGAUGGACCCGCGGCGUAUUAGUUAGUUGGUGAGGUAACGGCUCACCAAGACGAUGAUACGUAGCCGACCUGAGAGGGUGAUCGGCCACAUUGGGACUGAGACACGGCCCAAACUCCUACGGGAGGCAGCAGUGGGGAAUUUUGCGCAAUGGGCGAGAGCCUGACGCAGCAACGCCGCGUGAAGUGAUGAAGGCCUUCGGGUCGUAAAGCUCUGUCAGAGGGAAAGAACAACCUGCCGGUUAAUACCCGGCGGGCCUGACGGUACCCUCAAAGGAAGCACCGGCUAACUCCGUGCCAGCAGCGGC
rnacentral:rRNA from 1 species